rnacentral:ribozyme from 1 species
GAAAAAGAAAGAAAGGAAAAUGGACGGACAAACAAAAAAGGAAAGAUUGAUCGAGGCCAGGUGACUAGUCACCAAUCAGCCAACCGUAUUCCUUCCUUCCUUGCUUCCACUGUCUGUUCUGUUCUGUUCCGUGAAUUCUUUUUUCUCAUCUAUCUUCCACUUACGGCCGCAAAUU